rnacentral:rRNA from 1 species
GAUGAACGCUGGCGGCGUGCCUAACACAUGCAAGUCGAGCGAACGGACGAGAAGCUUGUUUUUCUGAUGUUAGCGGCGGACGGGUGAGUAACACGUGGAUAACCUACCUAUAAGACUGGGAUAACUUCGGGAAACCGGAUCUAAUACCGGAUAAUAUUUUGUACCGCAUGGUUCAAAAGUGAAAGACGGUUUUGCUGUCACUUAUAGAUGGAUCCGCGCUGCAUUAGCUAGUUGGUAAGGUAACGGCUUACCAAGGCAACGAUGCAUAGCCGACCUGAGAGGGUGAUCGGCCACACUGGAACUGAGACACGGUCCAGACUCCUACGGGAGGCAGCAGUAGGGAAUCUUCCGCAAUGGGCGAAAGCCUGACGGAGCAACGCCGCGUGAGUGAUGAAGGUCUUCGGAUCGUAAAACUCUGCUAUUAGGGAAGAACAUAUGUGUAAGUAACUGUGCACAUCUUGACGGUACCUAAUCAGAAAGCCACGGCUAACUACGUG